rnacentral:lncRNA from 1 species
GGACGUCGCUGUCGCGCCUGCAGUGGUUCUCGCUGGCGCUGCUCUUCGCGGGGGUGGCCCUGGUGCAGGCCGAGCAGGUGCGGCCGCCGCCGGGGGGCGGGGGGGGCGGCCCCGAGGACGGCGGGGGCCCCCCCCAGAGCUACCUGACGGGGCUGGCGGCCGUGGGGGCCUCGUGCCUGUCGUCGGGCUUCGCCGGCGUCUACUUCGAGCGGCUGCUCAAGACCUCGGGGGGCUCCAUCUGGGUGCGCAACCUGCAGCUGGGCGCCGUGGGCACGGCCGUGGGGCUGGCCGCCAUGCUGGCCGCCGAGGGCCGCGCCGUGGCCGCCGUGGGCUUCUUCCACGGCUACAGCCCGGCCGUCUGGGCCGUGGUGCUGAACCAGGCGGCCGGCGGGCUGCUGGUGGCCGUGGUGGUGCGCUACGCCGACAACAUCCUCAAGGGCUUCGCCACCGCCCUCUCCAUCCUGGCCUCCGCCGCCGCCUCCGCGCACCUCUUCGGCUUCCGGCCCCGCGGCGCCUUCGUGGCCGGCACCGCCAUGGUGCUGGCCGCCGUCUACCUCUACGGGAGGCCCCCCGGGGGCGCCGGGCGGCCCCGUGGCGGAGGAGGAGAAGGAGGAGGAGGAGGAGGGACGGAGGCCGCGGGGCCGCACGAGGGACACGGCGGCAAGUCAGUGGGGGCGGCGUGACGGGGAGGGGAAGGGCGCCCGGGGAGCCCCGCGGUGGGGGAGGGCGGCGGCGGCGGGGGGCUCGGCAGGCGGUGGAGGCUGAGAGGUUGGGGUUUGGGUGGCGGAGACCCCCACGUUGGUCUUCUUUGGGUGGCGGCGACCCCAAAGUUGGGGUUUUUUUGGGUGGUGGAGACCCAAAAGUUGGUUUUUUGUUGUUUUUUUUGGGUGGUGGAAGGUCCCAGCGUUGGGUUUUUGGGUGGUGGAGACCCCAGCGUUGGGUUUUUGGGUGGUGGAGACCCCAGCGUUGGGUUUGUAGGGUGGUGGAGGCUGAGAGGUUGGGUUUUUUUGGGUGGCGGAGACCCCAAAGUUGGUUUUUUUUGGGUGGCGGAGAAGAUGUUGAUUUUUUUUUUGGGUGGCGGAGAUGAUGUUGAUUUUUUUUUGGGUGGCGGAAGACCCCAGCGCUGGGGUUUGUAGGGCGAUGAAGGAGACGUUGGGGUUUGUAGGGUCACGGAAGCCACGGGGUUGGGGUUUUUUUGGGUGGCGGAGACCCCGAAGUUGGAUUUUUCUGGGUGGUGGAGACGUUGGGGUUCGUAGGGUCAUGGAGGAGGAGUUGGGUCUCGUAGGGCGAUGGAAGAUCCCAACGCCGGGGUUCGCCGAGCGAUGGAGACUCCUUGGGGGUCGUUACGGGACGGAGACCCCGGCGUUGGGGAUCGUUGGGUGGCGGAGACCCCAACGUUGGGGUUGUGGGGUGGUGGGGACCCCGAUAUUGGGGUUUGUGGGGCGGUGCAGACCCCAACGUUGGGGUUCACCAAGGGACGAAGACCCCGGUGUUGGGGAUCGUUGGGUGGUGGGGACCCCAAUAUUGGGGCUUGUGGGGCGGUGCAGACCCCAACGUUGGGUUGUUUUUGGGUGGUGAAGGAGAUUUUGGGGUUCCUUGGGGUUUGUGGGGUGGAGCCCCCAAAUUCGGGCCCCAGCGGGUGCCGCGGUCCCUGGGGGUUGCCCCCCCCCCCGCUGCCGGGGCUCGUUAGGGGGCGGCGCGGCGCCU